UGGGAAUUAAUUCAGUGGAAGAAUACACGGAUUAUAUCCGGGUUGUCGAGGGUUCGAUUCCUUCAUUCCCAA
rnacentral:tRNA from 1 species